rnacentral:misc_RNA from 1 species
UUCGAGCGUCAUUUCAACCCUCAAGCUCAGCUUGGUCUUGGGCUCUGCCGGUUACGGCUUGCCUUAAAAUUAGUGGCGGUGCCAUUGAGCUCUACGCGUAGUAAUAUAACCAUCGCUUUUGAGUCUCGGUGAACGCUUGCCAACAACCCCCAAUUUUUAUGGUUGACCUCGGAUCAGGUAGGGAUACCCGCUGAACUUAA